CACGUAGUUAGCCGUGACUUCCUCGCCGGGUACCAUCACUCAGAAAGCUUUCCACUCUUUCUGCCUUUUGUCCCCGGCAACAGAGCUUUACGAUCCGAAGACCUUCCUCGCUCACGCGGCAUUGCUCGUUCAGGGUUCCCCCAUUGACGAAAAUUCCCCUACUGCUGCCUCCCGCAGGAGUCUGGGCCGUGUCUCAGUCCCAGUGUGGCCGUCCGCCCUCUCAGGCCGGCUAUGCAUCGUCGCCUUGGUGAGCCGUUACCUCUCCAACCAGCUAAUGCACCGCAGGUCCAUCUGCAUGGCGGGACUCUUGUCCCCUUUACCAAAAAGAGAUGCCUCCUCUUUGCUCAUCCGGUAUCAGCCUUCCGUUCCAGAAGUUCCUCCCGCUCAUGCAGGCACGGUUCCCUAACGUGUUACCUCACCCCGUUCGCCUAACUCAUAUCCCGAAGAUACUCCGUUCGACUU
rnacentral:rRNA from 1 species